AGACGAAAUCCAGCAACCACGCACACCUCCAGACGAGUCAGCCAGGUUUUUCCUCUGCGAUGAUUUACAGUCGCGGGGCAUAAAAAAUGACCAGUCACAUAAAUCAUACAGUGGCGUGAUGAAAACUCUCCAUUAAUACUAUGACCCCGCCGCGAGCUAUCUACCUCCCAUUCAUCACCGCAUCGUGGGUAGAAGAUGGAACUCAAAACUCUUUUCUUUCUCCGCUCCCCUCCUCUGUUUUCCUGUCUGACACGAAACAAGCGUGGUGUUCGUUGAACCACUAAAGGCAAGCGGUGGAUUUUUUACAGAGUACACGUUGGGGCAAACCGUACUGAUGGGCCUUUUGAUCCAUUGCUGGCGAUGAUUGAUUAAUUCUCUGUUAAGCGGUAAAGAAUGCUGUGUUUAUGGAUGAUGCAUUGAGUUGUGAUGAAUUCGUUAUGUUUGCUCUGGGAUGAAUGAUUAUCAAUAAGCGUUGAAAACUUCAUCACAUUAAAAGAAUUUGGUGU